UCUAGGAGUGGGCAUGUGACAAAUCAGGGGUUCCCAAAUCAGGAGAGUGAUUGCUCAGCGGCGAUACAUGACCUUUGCCACGACCAUGAAAAUUAGAUCCUAGAUUUUUGGCAGAACACAUUAAAAGACUCUCUCUCUCCUGGAUCUAUUCUUCCAGACAUUCCUCAUGUUUUCUGGCCCACCCACUGUGAGCAAAAUUCUUAAGUUUCAGAGAAUUUUCUCUACGUGAGGCUUAUUUCACCAAGGUAGAACAUGGAAAACUUGCUACUAUCCCCAUCCUUUUUGCUGUAGGAAACAGGGUCAGAGUGAGCAGUUACAAGUGAGAACUUUGACUAUAAUGUCAUAAAACUGGAAGACAUAAACCUGGGAAUUUCAGGGGCCCUGACCUGAAGAUAGGCCAAUGGGAAACGAAGUUAGCAUAGAAGAAAGCAUGGCUGAGAAAUGAAGAUUUAGCGACAGAAUGAGAUUUGAUGAAUACUGGACCCAGCCUUGCCUGAAGCUAAUAUGAAUACACAUAUAAGUUGAUGAUUUGUUUUUCUUAAGUCAUUUUGGGUUGAGCUAUCUGUCACUGGAAUUCAAGGCAUCCUGACUCAUAUAGGCUCUUCAUUUAUGGAGUGCAGUGGUGCCAUCUUAGCUCACUACAACCUCCGCUUCCUGGGUUCAGGAGAGUCUCAUGCCUCAGCCUUUUGAGUAGCUGUGAUUACAGUUCUGUGAUGUUAGCAUAGUUGAACACAGUGGAAUCCAGGGAAAUGAAGUGACAAGACUAUGACCACAGUCUGUUUCUGCAGUAGGAACGAGUUUCCCGGGUUCCUUCUUAGUCCUUUAUAGAUAUAGCUAUGAGACUCUUACAGGCAUGGAAAUAAUCAAUUUAGAUUAUAAAGGUUUGUU
rnacentral:lncRNA from 1 species